UGGCGGACGGGUGAGUAACGCGUAAAGAACUUGCCUUUCAGUCUGGGAUAACAGUUGGAAACGACUGAUAAAACUGGAUACGCUUAAUUGGUAGCAUUAUUAAUUAAGGAAAGAUAACUGAGAGAGAGCUUUGCGUCCUAUUAGCUAGUUGGUAGGGUAAAGGCCUACCAAGGCGAUGAUAGGUAGCCGGCCUGAGAGGGUGAACGGCCACAAGGGGACUGAGAUACGGCCCUUACUCUUACGGGAGGCAGCAGUGGGGAAUAUUGGACAAUGGAGGCAACUCUGAUCCAGCAAUUCUGUGUGCACGAAGACGGUUUUCGGAUUGUAAAGUGCUUUCAGUGGGGAAGAAGAAAGUGACGGUACCCACAGAAGAAGCGACGGCUAAAUACGUGCCAGCAGCCGCGGUAAUACGUAUGUCGCGAGCGUUAUCCGGAAUUAUUGGGCAUAAAGGGCAUCUAGGCGGAUAUGUAAGUCAGAGGUGAAAAUUAUGGGCUCAACCGAUAACUUGCCUUUGAAACUAUAUAUCUAGAGUGUUGGAGAGGUGGGCGGAACUACACAAGUAGAGGUGGAAUUCGUAGAUAUGUGUAGGAAUGCCGAUGAUGAAGAUAGCUCACUGGACGACAACUGACGCUGAAGUGCGAAAGCUAGGGGAGCAAACAGGAUUAGAUACCCUGGUAGUCCUAGCUGUAAACGAUGAUUACUGGGUGUGGGCGAAAAAACGUCUGUGCCGAAGUUAAUGCGAUAAGUAAUCCGCCUGGGGAGUACGACCGCAAGGUUGAAACUCAAAGGAAUUGACGGGGACCCGCACAAGCGGUGGAGCAUGUGGUUUAAUUCGACGCAACGCGAGGAACCUUACCAGAUCUUGACAUCCUACGAAGAUGUGAUAAAGAACAUUGUGCUGUUUUAUAACAGAACGUAGAGACAGGUGGUGCAUGGCUGUCGACAGCUCGUGUCGUGAGAUGUUGGGUUAAGUCCCGCAACGAGCGCAACCCUUAUCGUUAGUUACCAUCAUUAAGUUGGGGACUCUAGCGAGACUGCCUGCGAAGAGCAGGAGGAAGGUGGGGAUGACGUCAAGUCAUCAUGCCCCUUAUGAUCUGGGCUACACACGUGCUACAAUGGUAGGUACAAAGAGAGCCGAAGUAGAGAUACGGAGGGAAACUAUAAAGCUUAUCAUAGUUCGGAUUGAAGUCUGCAACUCGACUUCAUGAAGUUGGAAUCGCUAGUAAUCGCAAAUCAGCAAUGUUGCGGUGAAUACGUUCUCGGGUCUUGUACACACCGCCCGUCACACCACGAGAGUUGUUUGCACCUGAAGUUACUGGUCUAACCGUAAG
rnacentral:rRNA from 1 species